rfam:Afipia sp. 64-13 SCNpilot_expt_1000_bf_scaffold_511, whole genome shotgun sequence.
GUUCUGGGGAUCGCGAUCUCCCCACGAGGCGACAUGCUGAAGUAUCGCGUCCCGUUUCCAACGAGGGCGCAGCUAUG